GGGGGACCUUCGGGCCUCUUGCCAUCGGAUGUGCCCAGAUGGGAUUAGCUAGUAGGUGGGGUAACGGCUCACCUAGGCGACGAUCCCUAGCUGGUCUGAGAGGAUGACCAGCCACACUGGAACUGAGACACGGUCCAGACUCCUACGGGAGGCAGCAGUGGGGAAUAUUGCACAAUGGGCGCAAGCCUGAUGCAGCCAUGCCGCGUGUAUGAAGAAGGCCUUCGGGUUGUAAAGUACUUUCAGCGGGGAGGAAGGGAGUAAAGUUAAUACCUUUGCUCAUUGACGUUACCCGCAGAAGAAGCACCGGCUAACUCCGUGCCAGCAGCCGCGGUAAUACGGAGGGUGCAAGCGUUAAUCGGAGUUACUGGGCGUAAAGCGCACGCAGGCGGUUUGUUAAGUCAGAUGUGAAAUCCCCCGGGCUACAGCAG
rnacentral:rRNA from 1 species